AGCUUACUUAACCUUUGAGCCUUGUGUCUGCAAGAAUAAAAGAUGAGAGAAGGCACUGAUAAUAUGAAGACCGUAUGCUGAGAAUAUGAUUGGCAUAUUCAAGAAGAACAACAGAAAGAAGGCAACCAAUGUGGUCAAAGAUCAUGUUAGGAAUUAAAGCUGGAGUUAAACAUGGCCCAGAUCAUAACGGUCUUUCAGAUGACCAAACAACUCCAUAAAAACUCAAAAAAAGACAGGGUUCGGAGAGCGUCCAGAUUGAACACAUGGUGAUUGGGGAGAAUGGCGCCCCUGGAGAG